AUGGGAGCAGCCGGGGAGGGGGAGAGAGAGGCAGCAGGCAGCUGCGCCUCGUCCCCCGGGGCACGGGGUCUGUCCCUGGCGGAGGCUGCCGGGUGGGUACAGACCGGGUCACCCUGGCACAGGACGGGCACACGUCGCAGGCCCGGGCAGAGCUCAGGUGUUCGGCACUUCUCCUUUGUGCCCCCGCCCCCUCCGCUCAGCCCUCGACAAUCCCGAGGCCGACGACGGGGCACGGACAGAUUUGGAGAGCCACUCCGAUCCCCCUGCAUGGCCCGGACCCCAGUGGCUCUCGUGCAAGGGCAGGCCUCCCCUUUCCUGUCCGCCUUGCCAUCCUCAGCCUCCUGCUCAGUCUCAGUCCCUGGCAUGCCAAUGGCAGCAGCAGGGAGAUGUCCGUCUGGCAGGAAGUUUCCUCUCCCCUUCCUCUUCCAGCUCCUCUGCUGGAAACAGGGGAGGAGAAGCUGUGCAGCGUGCGGGGAGCACGCUGGGGCCCAUCUCCCGGGAAGCCUCUACCACGCCGUGCCCGUGCGGCUGCCGUGGUGCAAGAGGCGGCUGUUUGCAGCCGGGGUCCGGGUGCCCUCUGCUGUACAAAGCCCUUCCCAGCACCCGGUCCCAGCACCCGGCUCCUCGCCCUGCCCAGCGCAGCCGGGGCGCUCUGCUCUCCAAAACCCCUGCCCACCGCCCACUGCCCCCCGGCCGGGGAGAGACGGAGCCGUCCAGGGCCGACCUAUUCCUCCGGCCUGGAGCUGGGCUGUAUUCCAGGAGUGGGAAUCCGUGCAUUGUGGUGCCUGGGCGACUGCUGGGGAUGCUCCCUGUGCCCAGGCGAUGCUGCGCAGACCUGGCCGGCAUGCCCGAGCGCGGCAGCUUCCACCGCAAGGGCCUGGGCUGGGGUCUGCCGGGGCCUGCUGGCCACCCCGACCGAGGCGCAUCUCCCAGACGCCUUCAGCUCUCAGCACCCGAGACGCUCUCGGCUGGGCCGGACGCAGCCCAGAGGACGUCCGUGAACAGCCCACCCUGCACGGCUCCGACCCGGGCCUGCUCCACCCCGACUUCCAUACGACCCCAGGAAGCAAGCAGUGGCUCAGUCCUGUCCACGCUCCGUAA
rnacentral:lncRNA from 1 species